rnacentral:lncRNA from 1 species
CGAAGGAGAGUAGUAUGGUGGGGGUGGGGAGCUGUAGACGUAUGGUGGUGGUGGAGAUUUGUAGUUUACCUUAGGCGAAGGAGAGUAGUAUGGUGGGGGAUGGGAGCUGUAGACGUAUGGUGGUGGUGGAGAUUUGUAGUUUACCUUAGGCGAAGGAGAGUGGUAUGGUGGGGGAGGGGAACUGUAGACGUAUGGUGGUGGUGGAGACUUGUACUCAACCUUUGGUGAAGGAGAGUAGUAAGGUGGGGGAGGGGAGCUGUAGACGUAUGGUGGUGGGGGAGACUUGUACUCAACCUUUGGUGAAGGAGAGUAGUAAGGUGGAGGAGGGGAGCUGUAGACGUAUGGUGGUGGGGGAGACUUGUAAUCAACCUUAGGUGAAGGAGAGUAGUAUGGUGGGGGCGGGGAGCUGUAGACGUAUGGUGGUGGGGGAGACUUGUACGCAACCUUUGGUGAAGGAGAGUAGUAAG